rnacentral:rRNA from 1 species
GACGAACGCUGGCGGCGUGCCUAAUACAUGCAAGUCGAACGCUUCCUACCGGUGCUUGCACCGGGAAAGAAGAGUGGCGGACGGGUGAGUAACACGUGGGUAACCUACCUACAAGCGGGGGAUAACAUUCGGAAACGGAUGCUAAUACCGCAUAGAUCUUUUUGUCUCCUGACAGAAAGAAGAAAGACGGUUUCGGCUGUCACUUGUAGAUGGACCCGCGGCGCAUUAGUUAGUUGGUGAGGUAAUGGCUCACCAAGACGAUGAUGCGUAGCCGACCUGAGAGGGUGAUCGGCCACACUGGGACUGAGACACGGCCCAGACUCCUACGGGAGGCAGCAGUAGGGAAUCUUCCGCAAUGGACGAAAGUCUGACGGAGCAACGCCGCGUGAGUGAAGAAGGUUUUCGGAUCGUAAAACUCUGUUGUUAGAGAAGAACAAGGAUGAGAGUAACUGCUCGUCCCUUGGCGGUAUCUAACCAGAAAGCCAUGGCUAACUACGUGCCAGCCGCCGCGGUAA